GACACAGUGGCCUAGACAAGUAGGUCGCGGCGCAGUUCUCGCGACACGAGCUCGCGUGCGCGAGACCGCGACGUCUGUGUCGGUGUGCACAGCUAGGCGAGUGAACGCCGAGCGAAGCGUGUCGCUGCGAGUGUGACCGUGCUCCUACACCAUCGCACACGAACGCGUCCACUCUGGAGAAUAAUUAACUCCCGGACGACGGACCAUGGCGAGAGCCCCAAUUUCAUUCUUCCAUCCGAUUGUUCAAAAAUAAAUUCAAGAUCAACAGGGAUCAUUAAUGAUAUUAUAAUUGAACUUUUUAAUACAAUGCUUGUUCAUUUGUGUCGGGGAAGUAAAAGAAAAAGAAAAAGAAAACUGCGCAAUCUAAGAAAGAGUAUACGUAGAUAAUUUGGUACGGAAAAGCAAAAAAAAAAGAAGUCAUUUCAGAAGACUGAUGAUCUUUGUUAGAACGAAAUGCUGUAAAGGUUAAUGAACUUGGUUGCUGAAGCUGAUUCUCAUUGAGACACGAGCGAUCAAGAGGAUAGGUAGAUUAGUAAAUCCGGAAACAGCUAAUACCAUUUGGUACGGUCGCAUUAGUCAAAAAGUCAAGACCACCGACGAAAGGAAAGAAAAGCAACGUUCAUUAGCACUUGCUUAACACGUUGAUUGCCAUGGUGACGCAACUUUGGAAAUUAGAAUGAUUAAAGACACGAACGUUUAAUUAUUCAAUUUAACAUUUCAGUUUGCCCCAUCACGACGUUUAACUAAUGUUAACUUUUGCAAUUUUCUUUUUAUAAUUCUUCAAUUAACCCCAUCGGCGCAGAGUUCCACAGUAACCACAGAACGUUAUUUAAUAUUACCCAACUCUAAAUUAUACAUUGUAUCAGCAAUCCUCGUUAUUUAAAUAAACAAUACAAAUACGUAGCUUGGUCUAGCGUUAUUUUCUCUGCAGUUUCUCGCGGGAUAGCCGAGCAGCUUGAUGCAGGAAAUUGGCUACCGUGAAUCCCCCGGGGAAUAUCAAGUAAAUCGAGACGAGGAUCGUGUUGG